rnacentral:lncRNA from 1 species
AAUCAUCCAUAGUUGAUGUAUACUGAUUAAUUUUCAUUUUCAGCUGAUUGCUCUGUGGCCAGUUGGGUGCAAGUGCUAUAAGGGAAUAAUCUGAACUCCCAAAUAAGGCAUAUAUUUUUCAGUAUAUGCCCACCAGGACUUGGUUGACUGCAUAUUUGAGUGUAUGAUUCAGAGUUCUAUCACAUCAAAUCACUCUCUUUAAUUAAAUCUUAGAAAAAACAGGAAAAAAGGAGAAAGCUCACGAGAAGAUAGCUGUCCCUGAAAUUAAAAAAGCAGAUAAAAAAGAAGCUGCUGUAUCCAAAGAACUCAAAAAGCCAGCAAAAGCUCCUGCAGCCAACCCAGCCACCAAAAAAGCAGCAGCACCAGGUAAAGAAGAAAAAUAUUUGCAUGCAGUGUAUUUCUUGCACUCUUGAACCAGUUUAUUGCAUCAUAGCACCAUCUGCUGGAUUGCACAUGAGCCAGUGGUUUUUGUUAGUUGUCGGGGUGACUUUUUGUCUGUUUUGCUCUAAAUCAUUGUGAUAAUUCGUAUGUGAAAUAUUUGCUAAGAAAAAAGUAUUUAGGACUGAUUUCUACCAUUCUGUUUGCUUCUUGCCUUUCCAUGGCAACUAUGAGGUGCCAUAUUGAGCCAUUCUGCAGGGUUUGAGAUUAAAAAAAAAUAAUCUGAAUAUAAAGCCUGAUUUUAAACACAAUAUUUACAGAAACUAGUUUCCAUGUGAAGCUGUAUUUGAGCCCUUUGAGAAGGGGAUCUGGUAUUUCAAAGUGCUGAUCUUACAGUAGGUUGUCAAAAUUGAGCUCUUGGAUAAUCAUAAAUAUGCACUGAAAAGACAAGAAAACUUUUUAUAAAGAAAUAAAUUCCCAUCUGAAAUUAGAUUGGAUUGUAAAAAUCUAAUAAUUUUUAUCUAUUUAUGAUCUCAUCUGCUUCAUAGCCAUCUUCAAAAGUGCCACAUCUCAUUUCUGCAUAAUUAAAUAA